rnacentral:rRNA from 1 species
UGGGGAAUCUUGGACAAUGGGGGAAACCCNNUNUCCAGCAAUGCCGCGUGUGCGAAGAAGGCCUUCGGGUUGUAAAGCACUUUUGUCUGGGAAGAAAUGGUUUGAGCUAAUACCUCAAAUUGAUGACAGUACCAGAAGAAUAAGCACCGGCUAACUACGUGCCAGCAGCCGCGGUAAUACGUAGGGUGCGAGCGUUAAUCGGAAUUAUUGGGCGUAAAGGGUGCGCAGGCGGUUUUUUAAGUCAGAUGUGAAAUCCCCGAGCUUAACUUGGGAACUGCAUUUGAAACUGAAAGACUAGAGUGUGCGAGAGGGGGGUGGAAUUCCGCGUGUAGCANUGAAAUGCGUAGAUAUGCGGAGGAACAUCAAUGGCGAGGGCAGCCCCCUGGCGUAACACUGACGCUCAUGCACGAAAGCGUGGGGAGCAAACAGGAUUAGAUACCCUGGUAGUCCACGCCCUAAACGAUGUCUACUGGUUGUUGGGCCUUUUCUGGUUCAGUAACGAAGCUAACGCGUGAAGUAGACCGCCUGGGGAGUACGGUCGCAAGAUUA